CCCUUAGAUGUUCUGGGCUGCACGCGUGCUACACUGAUUACUUCAACAAGUGUUUUAACUGGAGAGUUCGCGUAAUCCUGAAAUGUUAUCGUGAUGGGAGUAGAGUAUUGUAUUUGUUAAUCUUUAACGAGGAAUUCCUAGUAAGUGUAGGUUUAUAAGUUGUUCUGAUUACGUCCCUGCCCUUUGUACACACCGCCCGUCGCUCCUACCGAUUGAUUGAUCCGGCGAAUUACAUAGAAUUUUGCGUUUUACAUGACGGAAGAUGAAGUGUUUUAAACCUUAUCAUUUAGAGGAAGGAGAAGUCGUAACA
rnacentral:rRNA from 1 species